AAUGUUUUAAACAAAUUCUCUGUAUUUACUUAUACAAGUAUUUUCCGGACGCAUCUUGGUUACACACUGCUGAAUGCAAUGUGGGUUCAGAACACACCUAAUUAACCUAAUUAGCUAGUGAACCUUUGACAAUUAGCAGACUACAUCCUCAAUGUGAGCGUUUUAAAGUUAAACAGUGAGACUUAAUUGAUAAACAUGGCCUUCGAGUUAGCUUGAGUUUAGUUGGCUAGCUAGCUAACGUCUUGCAUUAAAGCUUAAUUUUCUUUUCUUUCUUUUUUUUUUUUUUUUGCAGCGUGGUUUCUUAAAAAUGAUAAAUAACCAAAUUCCACACAGCAAAUGUUAGCCAUGUGAAAUGUUAAGAAGAGCAGUGGGGGAAAUUUCCCUAUGUGAUGUUUAGCUUCAUAAAUAAGUGCACUUGAUGUUUUUUUGGUGGUUUUAUUGCUGUUUACAGAGGGUAAGGUUGUGGGGAGGCUGCCCCAUGUGCUCUUCUGUGUGGAGUGUCUCUGCUCUCUGGAGUGUCCUCAGGACUCCAACUCUGUCCCCUCAGUCAGCUGUCCCGAGUGUAGGACGGUUUUUGCUAUGUGGGCCAAUCUCAGCUGAAAGCAGGUGUACUUGCGGCAGGUCCAUACUCUGUGUAGCGGUGUGUAUCUGCUUUUUCAAGUUCGUUAAGUCACAGACGGGCCACAGCUAAAAUUAAGGAGCUCAGCCGCCUGGAAAACACUUUUGACGGUUAAAUCAGUUAGGAUACUCGAGGCUGCAGUCAUUCUUCGUUUUCAAGAGGAAUCAUUUCAGCUGAAGAAGCCAUGCUGAGGGAGGUGUUAACUAAAUUAGAGAUGGUGCUGGACCAACAAACCACUGAGAUUGCUUCAACUACAGGAGGUCCAGGUGCAGCCUUUGGAUAUUGAUGAAGAUUUACUGCCCCUGCAAGACCUUCCUCAACUGUGUAGUCUGGAGCGAAGGAUGCAACAGAGCCCAGAUUACAAGCAAAAUCUGUUUCAGGUAAACUGGUUGGAGCUUAUUGACAGGGCGGAUGUGCUCAACUGCACCUGGUGCAUAUUGGUGAUUACUAACUCCCUGGAAAAGAACCUCAAUUGGAGGGGAAUCAAUAGAAAGACUUCACUGUCCGCUCUCCAACUCGGAGAGGUCGUGAUUGGCUGCGCAUUGACCAAGAAAUGAUUACGGUGAUCAAUCUGACGGGAACUACCUGUGCAAUAAACGGUUAUAAUGCACACCUUCCAGCCAAUCAGAAUCCAGUAUUCACAGUGACCAUGAGAUGGAGGUCGAGAGGACCAUGAAGAGGUGGCUCCAGCUGGCAUCAGAUCAAGAGUGUGAGUGCAAGAGAAGUCUUUUGCAAAAGGAAGCUACCAGGAAUCCUGAAGAAGGACGAGUGCAUUGGAGCAGUCGUGCCGCAUGCGGGGGCAAACAUCAGGCUUCGGCAGACAGAGGUUCUGAAGAGGGCCAGCCUGAUCGAGACGGUAUGAGGCAGAUCACCCACCGCGAAGAUCAUCGUCUCUGGACCUCUUCCCUCAUACAGAUGUGGAGCUGAAAAGUUCAGUAGACUUCUAGCAUUAAAUGAUUGGUUAGUUUCUUGGUGUAAUUAACAGGAAUCUGCUGUUUGUUAAUAACUGGAAUCUGUUCUGGGAGCGUCCUAGGAUGUUUCGUCCUGAUGGCCUGCACUCCAGCAGCUUCGGAGCGGAACUGCUGUCUGACAACAUCUCCAAGACACUACAAACCAAGUGACUGCCUACCGUCAAAUUAUUCGUAAACAUGGAAUGAACUUCCACUGUUAUGCUGAUGAUACAGAGCUGUAUGUUUGCAACUGAACAAUAACAAUAAACAACAACUGAAGAAUAGCGAAAAACUCCAACUGUUUUCGUGCUUACUUGAAGACGAUGAGGCGGAGCAGCAUCGGAGAGACAGUUCGCUCCAUUCUCCAAAGAAUCGGGGAGAACAGUCUGUGGUGUAUGUUUUCGUUGAAAGCGCCAAAAGGUGGGAAGCUGGCUUUGACUGAUCAGGAUGAAGUGUAUGGCCUUGUACACUAUAUUGCCGAACAAGCACAUGGACGUGAAUAUACUGUUGCCGGUUGCAGAGAGGCCAUCGGCAGCUACCUAAAAAAUGCCCCAGGCAGGAAAAGUGUCAAGAAACACAUUAUGUGUUUAUGAUGAAGGUUAGAAUUUAAAUCUACAACUUCUGUGGUUCUUUUUCUUUUCUCAUUCAUACAAAUGUGCCAUUGUGUAACACUGUUGACUGACUCAUUAGUUUUUAUAUCCCUUUGAAAAGCAAAAACCUUUCCACUAUGCAUAUAACUGAAAGUGCAUACAUGCUCCAAACCUUUUGUGAAUACUGAUGAUUGAUUUGGAGGUUUCAAAUUUUGAGUGAAUUGUGGUUCACUUUCUUGCGAUCAGGAAUGUGUAGCUAAUGUCUGUAGUUUACUGAUUCCGAAAUUGUUGGUUCAGACUGCAUCAUAUAGUACUAGUAUAUAACAAUGAAAUGAAAUGCCAUAUAUUCAGAUAUAUCCACUGUCUGUUCACAGCAGAGCUACAUGGGAUCUCUAGUGCGUCCUGCAAGAA